rnacentral:rRNA from 1 species
UACGUAGGGUGCGAGCGUUGUCCGGAAUUAUUGGGCGUAAAGAGCUCGUAGGCGGUCUGUCGCGUCGGUCGUGAAAACUUGGGGCUUAACCCUGAGCUUGCGGUCGAUAUGGGCAUGACUGGAGUUCGGCAGGGGAGACUGGAAUUCCUGGUGUAGCGGUGAAAUGCGCAGAUAUCAGGAGGAACACCGGUGGCGAAGGCGGGUCUCUGGGCCGAUACUGAUGCUGAGGAGCGAAAGCGUGGGGAGCGAACAGG